UUAAAUCUUCAUUCACUUACAUGUUCAACGUUAAUUUUGGUGAAGUAGAUGUCUUCCGUGGGGCGCAGUUCACUCAGCCCCACAUGCCUGAAUUAUUAGCCAAUGGUUCCCCCGUUGCUAGGCAGAAAAGUACAUCAUUUCGCCUGUGGGCGCUCAAAAUAUAGCCCCAAGCGCAGUGCACCGUCCACUGCGCGUAACCGCGCAUUUGCCAUUACCUCAGAGAUCAGCAAGAUGGCGACUUUGAGUAUUGCUUGCACUGUUUCCCUGUGAGUUCAGCUAGCCCCAAAUUCAGUUAAGUCUUUGCUUAUGAAUCCCUUCGAAAGAAGAACAUUUGCAGAAAAAUUGCAAGUAAAGGAAUAAGCAGAAAAGCCAGAAGUGAACAUAACCCAACAAGCAAGAGAAAAGGAUAGAGCCUACAAGAUAAGUUUUUCCAGAGUUUGGUUCAGGCUUGGCUAACUAGCUGUGGGUAUGCCAAUGCAAUUUUUUGCUUUCCUUGUAUACUUUUUAAAGCAAGUGCGUGUGAUAGUUUGUGGACACAGACUGGGUUGACAGACCUGAAACAUCUGUCAGAACAGAUAAAAAAAAACACGACCGAGCAAGAGUGCAUAUGAACAACUGUGUGAAGCUAGCCAUGCUAGAGGUAAGCAACUUAUAUUUAUUCCACUAGCCUAUAUGUAUUUCCCUUGAGGUGGACACUGGUUGCAGACCCUCACACCCUCCCACCCCUUUCAAGUGUACUGUAUAUAGUUCUCUGCAAAGUGCAAACCUAUGGUGGGACCAGGCCUUCAGUGUGCAUAUUGUAUACAGUCCUUUGCAAACCUAUUCAGUGUACAUACUGUAUAUCAGGCAUCUCCAAACGGCGGACCGUGGUCCGGGUCCGGAACAAGUGACGGUCCUAUCCGGACCCAUGACCAAUUUAAAAUAAUAAUAAAAAAAAUUUACCCCGAAAACAGACAUUUUAAAGAUGAAUGGACUGACCAAUACUUGUUCAUUGUUGUGUCUUUUAUGUGUUGAAACCGUGGCGCUGAUAAAAAGCGGGAAUAUUAAGCGGCAUUACGAAUCCUAACACAGAUCCUUCGAGGAAAAGUAUCGUCAGAAGUAAGAGCGUGGAAAAUAUCCGAGCUGAGAGCUCAGUAUGAGAGGUCUACGCCUGUCUUCACACACUCAUUUACAGGCCAGCAACGUACAAAUGAAUGCUCACUUAAGAUUGCAUGGAUUUUGGGGCAACAUAAAAAAACUUUCAGUGACACGACUGUUGUGAAGGAGUGCUUGAACGCCGCUGCCGAGACGUUACUUGAAGGUAAACAAAGGGAUGAAUUGUGUGAAAAAAUAAAGCAAAUCCCAAUGUGAGCUGCAAAGAAAAUCCGAAAUGUUAUCAGAUGACGCACUGUCACAGCUUCAUGCGGCUGUUCAGAGUGCCCCAUCCUUAGCCAUUGAUGAGUCUUCAGAUGAAACGGAUAAUGCCCAGCUUUUGGUUUAUGUGCGAUUGUUUCAUCAAGACAAGAAAAGAUCUGUGAGGACCUAGCAGGUCUUUAAAUUGACAAAAAGGAAGUACAGAAAUGCAACAUGAUCAAUUUAUAUUCUUCUUGUGGACAUGCUAUAAUCAUGUAAACUUUGAUUCUUUAUGGAGAAUGUUAGAUGUACUAAUGUCACUCACGUUGAUUGAAAUUGAUUUAAUUAUAACACUGAUGUCGAUGUGAUCGAGUUUAGUGCUUUUCUGGCGCCAAAGUGUAAUUUGCAUUGCGAGCAGAGGGUGGCAGUAGUGCACCCAUAGGCUGGAUUCAAAUUGCGCUGAAGAAAAAAAGAGACCACGGAGUGCAUUUGACCCAGAAAAUUCUGGAAGCAAUCACAUUUCCUCCUUCAGCCACAACGGAGACCAGCCCAUUUACUGAUAAAGGUUUGGUGGCGGUAAUGUGGAGUUGUAAAAGCUGCAAAGAAACUGUAUCAAAUCAACGCUGAGUUCAAGAGAAUCACCACCAUCCCACUUCAAGGCUGUUCCAAAGGAGAGGAGGACACCGAGGGCAAAAUCUAAAAAAAAACGUUGCACAAAUGGCAGAUGACUCCGGCGACCGCAGUACAAAGCUCCGACGUGAACUGCGGCCCCCGGUCCGAGGAAAGGUCUGACGGUGUGCCGAAACAGGCCACCCAAGCCAUAACGAACGCCCGGGCCACCUCAGCUGCUGUAGUUGAGGACAGGGGAACCCAACCUUCUGGCCACCUGGUGGUCCUGUCCACCAUGGUGAGGAGGUCUGGUGUAUAGAACUGGGACGACUAGUCGACUUCAAAAAUUCGUCGACAUGAAUAAUUUGUGUCGACGCGUCGCCUCCCCCCCACACUCUCGCUCCAGUCGUGGCGGUAAAUAUGCACCAGAACACUAGUCGCCAAUCGUUUAAAAUUCAUAACAAUGGCGGCGGCAAGCAGUAGCGGGAGCACAGAGGCUGGUGACAUAAAACUCGGCCAAAAGCCGAGCUCCGAGGGUUUGUUUACCAGCGUUGCUAUGGUGACUGGUCUUGCGUGUUCCAACGGUUUAUUAGGUAUCUAAUAAGCUGUCUAAUCACUUCAUUCACUGCCUCUUCCGUGGUCAUUACAAUAUUAUGAAUAGACUUUGUCGGGUUCGGAUUUUAUACUCUGGUGAAAAGAGAACUUUUAUCAUGUUAUGUAUUCCUAGUCUUGCUGUUGACUGUCGAAAUUCCACGAUCUAGCAACCAGUUCUCAGUAGUAAGAGAACUUUUGUUAUGUUAUGUAGUUCUAGUCUAGCUGUUGACUGUCGAAAUUCCACGAUCUAUCAACAAGUUCUAAGUAGUAAACCCACACUACAAGUUGACAAUUUAAAUUACAUAAAUCCUUUUCGAAGUUGUGUCUCUGAGGUGGCAGUGCAUUCUUUUUCAGUUUGCACAAUGAGAGAGGGAGGAAGGAGUAGAACAGUAUUUUUAUUUUUGGUAUAUUCCUCCUGAUUGACUUAUUUUGUUCAUUUGUUAGAUACUACAUAUGGCAUCAGAAUGCACUAUUUUGCAGUUUGCACAAUUUAAGUGCCGUGUUUGCACAAUGUUAUUGCACAAAAAAGCGGCAUGUUAAAGAAAUGUUUAAUAAAUGUUGAUAUUUUAACAACAAAUGUUUUGAUAUCCAUAUUGUGUGAAAAGUUACAUUGAUGAAGUAAUGUGAAAUAAUCAGUAACUGAAAAAAUAAUCGUUAGAUUAAUCGUAAAAUUAGUCGUUAGAUUAGUCGACUAAUCGAAAAAAUAAUCGCUAGAUUAAUCGUUUGAAAAAUAAUCGUUUGGGACAGCUCUACUGGUGUACCUGUUUUGCUUACUUGAAAUGUAGGCCUAAUGCACUUUGUGUUUAUUUGAAGUGUAGGCCUAGUGUUCCUGUUCUGCUUACUUCACAUGUAGGCCUUAUGCACUUUUUAUGUUCGUUUGAAUUGCAGGCCUAAUGUACCUGUUUUGUUUAAUUGAAAUGUUAAUAUGCGUUACUUUGUCUUAAAUUAUAAGGUAAUAUGCCGUGUUGAUUGUAUUUGACAAAAGAAGGCAAUUAGGACGUGGUAGGUUCGGACCUUUCUUAGAAGGAAUUUUUAGUAACUGGACCUUGUUCAAUUUUAAUCGAAGACCCCUGCUAUAUAUAGUCCUCUGCAAACCUAUGUUGGCAUCAGGCCUUCAGUAUGCAUAUUGUUCUGUAUGUAGUCCUCUGCAAACCUAUGUUGUUAUCAUGCCUUAAGUGUGUCUUCAACAACCACACACAAAAGUUUGCACAUUUACAUGAAUUUUGUGGAAUUCAUAUUUCAUUGUAUUUGUCUAAAUGCAUACUAAUGCAGACUGCAGAUAUAUUUAUGAGUGACGUUUACCAACACAAUGGCUUGGCCGUAACACACUUACCCAUUAUCUCUAUCUCUAUAUCUCACUCACACAGAGAGAGAGAGAGAGAAUGUUACCUUGUGUGUAAUUCACAGUUAUUGAUGAUGUAUCUGCACUCUUAAUGUUGCUGAUUUCUACAAGGCAAAUAAAUUAACUUAAAAGCUUAGU